UCUGGCGGCAGUAGCGCGGUGGUCCCACCUGAACCCAUGCCGAACUCAGAAGUGAAACGCCAAAGCGCCGAAGGCAGGGCGGGGACUACCAACA
rnacentral:rRNA from 1 species